rnacentral:tRNA from 1 species
GCCGCCGUAGCUCAGCCGGUAGAUUGGAUUAUCGCUAGCCGUAAGCGCCACCCUGGUAAGGUGGAGGUCCCGGGUUCGAAUCCCGGCGGCGGCU